rnacentral:rRNA from 1 species
CGCGCAGGCGGUUUGAUAAGUCAGAUGUGAAAGCCCACGGCUUAACCGUGGAAGUGCAUUUGAAACUGUUCGACUUGAGUACCUGAGGGGAAAGUGGAAUUCCCGGUGUAGAGGUGAAAUUCGUAGAUAUCGGGAGGAAUACCGGUGGCGAAGGCGACUUUCUGGCAGGAUACUGACGCUGAGGCGCGAAAGCGUGGGGAGCAAACA